UACGAAGGGUGCAAGUGUUAAUCGGAAUUACUGGGCGUAAAGCGUGCGUAGGCGGUUUUUUAAGUCAGAUGUGAAAGCCCCGGGCUCAACCUGGGAAUUGCAUUUGAAACUGGGAAACUAGAGUGUGUGAGAGAGGGGUAGAAUUCCAAGUGUAGCGGUGAAAUGCGUAGAGAUUUGGAGGAAUACCAGUGGCGAAGGCGGCCCCCUGGCACAACACUGACGCUCAGGUGCGAAAGCGUGGGGAGCAAACAGG
rnacentral:rRNA from 1 species